ensembl:lncRNA
GAGAUGUGAGUGAACGGAUCCCCUCAAGGGAAGAGAAUAGAAACAAGGGGUGGCACCUUAAUAUCCAAAGCAGAAAAUACGGCUUGAAAUGUACUUAAACUAGAGUUAGGGGACAUAAUGGAUUUUACAAAGUGUAUAAAAGCUGCUCCAUCAAUUGCCAGGAAUGAUUUUGUAGCAAAGGAAGUUUUGGAUGCCAUGGAGAACUAAAAUAAAAGGGAGUGCUGCCAUCUAGUGGACAAGAUAUGACAAGCUCAGCAAAGCUAGGUUAGCAAGGUUAUACCUAUUGUUUACAAAAGCUAAAAUAACAUUUAUAUGGACAAUAAGGGAAAAAAGACAUUAAACACAAUAUUAAGUCAUUUUAUCAUUUUUUUUAAAUGAUCAAAUGCUUCUUAGUUUUUAUUAGAUUUGAUUCAGUGUGUAACCCACAAAAAAUGAGUCCUUCAAAGCGUUAAACCAUUAUAAUGAUUAUUUUACAUUACGCUGAAUAAAAUAAUUAAGAAGAAAAGAAAAUAAGUAAAACAUUUAAAGCGAUUUUUUUUACAUUAACAAAGGAAAAUAUACAGUACAUUUGGCAAAUAUGGAGUUGUUUAGUGUUGUAUAAGUAGGAAAAGAAGUCAACAUCUUAUUUGUUAUGAUGGUGUACACAUAAUGAAUAUUACACAAUUGUUUCACAUAGGUUCACAACGAGGCAUUUUUUUGUUCUUUUUUUUUUUUUUUUUUUUUACAUCUGAAGCACAAUAUUUUACAGUUUUUAGCAGAAUGUCCUCCAUUGUUGGCCAAAAAAAGGGUGAUUCAAUUGAUAUAAAAAUAUCAAAAGAAAAUGCUUUAAAAAUGGAACAAAUACAUGAUAGAUAUUUUCACAUCCCCUGCACCACCGAAGUUAAAUGGAAAGGACAACGUUCAUUUUAAACACAAAUUAAACAGUAGUAGUAUUUGUAAAAAUGUACACAAUACACUAUGUAAUUUUCAAAAUCCGAUUAUGUAGCUUGAUUCAUUCUGCAAAUGGGCCUUAACCAAAAAUAAAAAUAAAUAAGUAAAAAUAAGAAAGGUUUGU